rnacentral:lncRNA from 1 species
UCUUUUGUACUUGAUGACUAAUGAUGUAAAGAAAAGAAUGUAACGUGUAUUUUGAGAUAAAUGUGAUGUAAGAAAGAAAUGAUGAAAUGAAAUGUAAGGAAUUCGAAAAUGAACAAGAGAUGGAUGCAAUGUAUAUGAUCUAAAAUGAAUCAUAUUACUUGUGAAUGUUUAGUUUCCUUUUUCUUUCACUAAUGGCUAUUGCUUACCUUCGUGUAAGCCGUUUGUGUAUGUUUCCGCUAGUGC